ensembl:snRNA U6 U6 spliceosomal RNA
GUGCUCACUUCAUCAGCAUAUAUACUAAAAUUGGAAUGAUACAGAGAAAAUUAGCAUGGCCCCUGCACGAGAAUGACACACAAAUUCAGGAAGUGUUCCAUGUAUUU